UCCCAAGGGUAUGGCUGUUCGCCAUUUAAAGUGGUACGCGAGCUGGGUUUAGAACGUCGUGAGACAGUUCGGUCCCUAUCUGCCGUGGGCGCUGGAGAACUGAGGGGGGCUGCUCCUAGUACGAGAGGACCGGAGUGGACGCAUCACUGGUGUUCGGGUUGUCAUGCCAAUGGCACUGCCCGGUAGCUAAAUGCGGAAGAGAUAAGUGCUGAAAGCAUCUAAGCACGAAACUUGCCCCGAGAUGAGUUCUCCCUGAGACUUAAAGUCUCCUGAAGGAACGUUGAAGACGACGACGUUGAUAGGCCGGGUGUGUAAGCGCAGCGAUGCGUUGAGCUAACCGGUACUAAUGAACCGUGAGGCUUAACCUUACAACGCCGAAG
rnacentral:rRNA from 2 species